GUUGUUUUGGUUGUACAGUAUCAAGACAAUUCUGAUUUGCAUGGGAAGUUAACAAUAUGUGCAGAGAUGGCCGGAGAAACUGGACACUGAAGUCUGCAUUCUAACAAGGAACUGUAGAGCAGGUUAGCUCAUUAAUCUCCUUUGUGAUAAAAUUUGUAUAUAAACACAUUUGGAUAUGUAUGUGUGUGUUACCCUUGAAAAUGUACCAAAAACCAAAAUAAAAAUGAACAUCACCAAUAAUGAGAUACACUGAUCUCAUGAGUGAUGUGAUCUCCUAAAA